GUCUCUCGCUCUCCCUCUCUCUCUCUCUCCCUCUGUCUUUCUGCAAGCAGCAGAAGAGAAGAGAAAUGAAUAGUUAGCGCUUGGUUCUAUUCACUUCUUCCUUCGCUCGCUUCAAUAUCAUAUCAAGAAAGCAGCACACGUAAAAUUGUUCUGCAUAUGGCAUGUAAGACACCCCAAGUCCUGUGAAAGUAAAGAGGUUAGAUUUUCAAGAAUUGAUUGAAGAAAGUAAAAGAAAAAA
rnacentral:misc_RNA from 1 species